rnacentral:rRNA from 1 species
UACGAAGGGGGCUAGCGUUGUUCGGAAUUACUGGGCGUAAAGGGCUCGUAGGCGGCCAACUAAGUCAUACGUGAAAUCCCUCAGCUUAACUGGGGAACUGCGUGUGAUACUGGAUGGCUUGGAUUUGGGAGAGGGAUGCGGAAUUCCAGGUGUAGCGGUGAAAUGCGUAGAUAUCUGGAGGAACACCGGUGGCGAAGGCGGCAUCCUGGACCAAUAUUGACGCUGAGGAGCGAAAGCCCGGGGAGCAAACGGG